GCCUGGGUGGCUCAGUCGGUUGAGUGUCUGACUUUGGCUCAGGUCAUGAUCUCAUGGCUCAUGGGUUCGGGCCCCAUAUUGGGCU
rnacentral:tRNA from 1 species